AAAAGCCAUUAGUAGCCCUGUUCAGCCAUCAAUUCACAGCAAUACCACACCCAUACCGCCUGAGAGACUGGAGUCAGAGCAUGAAAUAAUAGAAUUACAGAUUAUUGCAAGGAACCAGUCUUUCCACAACCACUCGAUAUAUCAGCGAGUAUGCUGAACAAACAGGGACAGAGAGGGGUUGUAGCAGUACUGGAUGACAAGUCGCAGUGAAUGCUCUGCACUGUGUCUUGUUGUUGCUGUCCUCUAGCCGCCUUGUAAACAUUCUGCUCCCAAGAGCUCUGUCUGAUAGCAUCUGAAAGUCUGCCUGCUGUUUACAGAGAGUCACAGCUUUGGCAGAGACAGACGAGGGCCCGUCCAGCCAUGAUGGAUGGCUGCUCUGAUGAAGAGGACACAGCCGGGUCCCACAGCAGCAGGAAAUGAGACAGCCGUCACUCCUCCCUUGACAAUUUAAUCAGAGAAUCCACCAAUCAUAUUCAGCAAAAACAGCAACCUUGACCUGCACAGUCAGAGCGCAUUACCAGUCUGUCAUUGAUCCAGAGGACAAGGAAAGAGCUGGCUAAUGAUGGAUGAAGUAGUGAUCUUAACCCCCCAACCCUUGUGUCCCACAUGGACUAAUUCUGGAUUAACACCUUGGUCUAAGUGUCGAAGUGAGAUUAUUCAUCAUGUGAAUGCCAACAGCCACUGAUGCUGACGGAGCAAAGGUCUUAAAUCUUGGUGUGCCACUGGAAGUGAAGAACUUAAUGGAAGUUUUAGAAAGUGAACCACAAUGAGCAUUCAUAGAGACCAAACCAGGAGUAAAAAGUAGAGUGAAUUUGACCUACUGGCUUACUAAUUAGAUCAUUAAUGCUAAUGUUGCUCUGUGUCUGUUGGAUACAGAUCUAACACAUUAGCCAUAUCAACUUAUAAGGGUAAUGGAAAUGUUGUCAUUACAGCUUGUUGCACUGUCCCCAAAAUUCAAGUGAUGACGGUUUAAGACCAAUAUGGGUCUCUUAUGGGUGUAGGAGAAUAAUUGGUGAACAGGGAGGCUUCUAUCAAAGAGUUAAAAACUGUAACACUGGAGAACAGUAAGUGGUCUCCUGUGAAUCCCUAUUGUGUGUGUAGGAAAUUUGAAUCCCACUUGGGAAAGGCAGACUCUCUGGGUAACAAUGAAAAUGACUAUGUAUAGAAGAUGUAAACACAUUGAAAAAAUAACUAAAUACUAUUUAAAAUUGGGUUUUGAUGAAUGACAAUGAAAAUCUUGAGGAUUUUACUGUAAACUGAAUAGGUGAAUAGGUGAGUGAGCAUUAGAAACAUUGUAAAGCACUAUGUUGCUCCUGAUGAACAGGUCUGCCAUCAGUGUAUGAAUGUGUGUGUGUGAAUGGGUGAAUGUUGGCAUGUGUUGUAAAGCCCUUUGAGUGCAGCACAUUCACCUUCUUGUGCUGCAAGUCAGUAUAUUGACUUUUUCAAUAUCUAACCAAAACCACCAUCUUUCUCUAAUCUCAACCGAGCUAAAGCUAAAGUAUGAAAAAAUGUUUGAUUUGUAGUUCUGUCCAUGUUCCUGUGUCCAGUACUUGUGUAGCUGUUACAGUGGGGAAACAAUUAUUUGACAUCAAAGAAGCAAAAUUCUCUGCCCCACCUUUUCUUGCUCUCAACAACCAAACUACUAUUGAUCACUCUCUUCCUCUCUCUUUUCCUUCAGUUUGUUUCUGUCUCCCUAUUUCAGCCCUACUAGGAGAGACUCACACUGCUAAACACACAUUCUUUUCCCACUACAGCUGUUUAAUAAUUUAACCUAUUGCAUAAUUGUUUUUCUGGCAUGAUAAAAUCCUGACUCUUAUGCAAAUGGCAGAGAGCUGUGAUUUGUUUCAUGCUAGCAGUAAAGUGGCGGUGCUGAGGUCCUAAUGGGAGCUGUGGCUGUGUGUGAGUCAUCCUCCGCAGGCUCUAAUGUUUGCCUCUAAUCAUCCCCCCGAGGAAGGCUGGGAGGGGAAGUAGCAGUCAGGAGGAAAAGCAACGAUGCACAGGGCAGACUGGCCUGCACAUUCACACUGUGAAUGGCACUGUGGGAACACAGACUGGUGCACUAAAUAUUAACAGAAUUUUACUUACUUGUGUGGAAUUGAAUCCAUUGCUACAAUAACCAAGCUCUCUCACUUUGUGCUGAACGAUUCUCACCAAUCGUUGGUGUCCGAAGGUACCCUUGAAUUAAGAUGGCUUAUCUGCUACAUGUGUGGCAAAACUAUUUUUCCUGGCAGUACUGAGCUGUUAAAGCAUAACAGUGAUGGAAUUUAUUGAGUGUAGGCAAUGCUAAUGGCACUAAUGGCUACAACAGAGAUUUCAAUAUCUGCUUUAAAGGUAACAAAAUAGAGCCUAUUGAUUCAUUUAUCAUUAUUGAGAUAAAAGUGACAAUAUAUUAUAGUACAUUCUGGGCAUAUAAGGCAAAUGUAUCUAUAUAGCACAUUUCAUACGUUAUAUGUUAAGAAACGGCUCCAAAGAUUAAUAACAGCAAUGGUGUUUUCAGUCCCCAGAGAGUAGUUCUGUGUAAGGCAGACACCACUGAGCAUGUGCGGGAAUGCCGUUCUGUCAACAGAGUUUCACUAGCUUGUUGUGCUGCAUAUCACAACCUCUUGAUUUUGCACUACAUUAUACAUUUAUAAAGAACUUUAGUACAAAGUCAAGACUAAUGUUGCUAGAGUGUCUAAAAAUGCCAGAAAUGAUCUAGUUUCAGCUUCAUAAAUUUCUUAUGUGAUAGUAAAUUAAAGCUCUUUGGCUUUUUAACUGUUGGACGGACAAGCAACAAGCAACUUGAAAGUGUCACCUUUGGCUUCAGGAAAUUGUGAAAGGCAUUUCCUUACAUUUUAUAGUGAGAAAUAUUAAUCUAUUGAUUGAGAAAACAAUUGGCAGAUUAAUUGAUAGUGAAAAUAAUGACUUUCUAAGACAAUGACCAAAGAAAUAUGUCACUUUAAGAGCUGUUAUUUCUGUACGUUGACUUGACAACAUCGUCCAUGCUACUAUUUUUGUGUCAGUUUUUCUAUAACUUUAUAAGGGAUGUAGACAGCUAGCUACUGUAUGUAGGAGAUGGUGUCCCCAUCCUUAGUCCUGCCUACACAGCUCUUCUGUAACUGUUCAGAUGUUUAGAAACAGGCUCUGUAUAACACAAUCUACAUCCCUCCACAGCGCCAGUAAAACACUUCCAUCUGGUACACCAAGCAACUAACAGACAUGACGCUUUGGAAACAGCAUGUAGGCCCACGUGUGUCUCCUGUAGGU